AAACCGCGCAGAGGUAAACGGGUGGAUCCGCAAAGUCGGCCCGUGGAAUUCAGCGCGGCGCGCAGACCUGGGCUGUCGUGGUUCGGGAUCCCUGGGACCCCACUGCGGCGUCGUUCGGAUCUCCGCUGCGUGCACUUUCCACGGGCAGAGUGCCACAACCGGUUCGGUGGCGGUUAAAAGUUUGGAGGGUUGUAGGUGGGGGCGCUUGCGUCCCUACCAGCCCUUCUCUUGCUAGCCGCCGCCGGACCGAGGGAACGCCGCGCGCUUCGAGGCCACCCUCCCCUCCUGGUGAGUUCGACUGGGAGAGACUGGGCAACCGUGUCUCCCGACCGCUCAUCUGUGAUCGGCGUGGGGCUGGCCGGGCGUGCAUUGUCUGUCAAGGUUGGUGGCAAGUAUGUCGGCAUUCCACCCGACCCGUCUUGAA
rnacentral:rRNA from 1 species